rnacentral:misc_RNA from 1 species
GCAAACUUGGUCAUUUAGAGGAAGUAAAAGUCGUAACAAGGUUUCCGUAGGUGAACCUGCGGAAGGAUCAUUAUUGAAUAAACUUGGUCAAGUUGUUGCUGGUCCUUCGGGGCAUGUGCACGCUUGCCACCAAUUUUAACCACCUGUGCACCUUUUGUAGACUUAGAAACGUUUCUCGAGGCAACUCGGAUUGAGAACUGCUGCGCGAAAGCCAGCUGUUCUUGUGUUUCUCAGUCUAUGUUUUUACAUACCCCGAAUGAAUGUAUCAGAAUGUAUUGCUUGGCCUUAGUGCCUUUAAAUCAAAUACAACUUUCAACAACGGAUCUCUUGGCUCUCGCAUCGAUGAAGAACGCAGC